GUCUGGUAAGAAAGAGUCUCACAAGAGAAGCAUUUGAAUUUGUCCCUGGGCAGCACGGAGAACACAGACUGAUGACAGUGAGGGACAUUCAUCAGGUGACUUCAUAUGAUUCAAGUCAGAGAACAGCUCACACUGGAUGUCACUUCCAACCCAAAGGAAGGCCCGAGGAGCUCAAGGUUAAGAACAGAGUAGAGGUGAGCCAGGUGAAGAGGUUUGAAAGGUGCACAGGAGUCUAGAGCUGGUUGGAGUUGUACAGAAUGACGUUUGGAAAAAGUCUGUAUGGAUAAGAAAAGAGAGCUGUCAAGACAGGAAGUAACUAACUGUGGAAUCUUAGGAAUGGAAGAGCUACUGAAGACAAGAGUCAUGAGUUGGCCUAAGAAGUGUGAACCAUCAGUGCAUGUCAGAGUCUGGCGAGGCAUGGACACUAAGAAUUCUUAUAUUGCUCUUCACGGUCUUCUAAAAUAUACAUUACUAUUGGCAAACUAACUACUUUUGUUUAGCAGCAACACAGAGUAUUCAGAAGACCUUUUGAUGUUUAUUUGUUGCAAGCAGUUUUGUUUUGAGGCAGAGUCUUGUUAUGUAGCCUGAGUGGCCUCAAACUCACCAGCCUCCUACCCUCAACCCUAAGGUUCUAAGACUGUAAGAAUAGAAAAUCACCCCUGGUGACACUCAAGGUUUGACAUGUCUAACUCCAGGAUCCACAAAAUGAAAUCUGAAUAUAAGAGAAUGCAGACAUCAGAUCAGAGGAUUUAGAGAUAACCUUUCUUGAAGACUGUAAGACAACACCCAAUUCACAACAAAACCGUAUUAUUGAUUUGGGGUAUUGAUUCCUUUAAUCUCCAUCAUUACUUGUUCAGCCCUCUAAGAACUCUGGCAUCUAUCUGUGACAGGCAUAUUUCUGUCUUAUAGAAACUCUGUAGCACUUCUUUUUAAGCAUUUUGACAUGUAUUGUACCCAUACCUCACAUGGCGUAUGGAAGGAAGACUAUCCACCAAUCACCCUAAGUCUCAUGAAGAACACAACAACGUCACUGUCUUCCCGAUGUCCUGCUCAUAGAAAAUGGUUCUUCAACCUGGACGAAGGUGUAAACACAAAACCUUCUCAGGGCUCAGAGCACUCAGUGGCUUGGUCUCUUCAAGGAGUCAUGUAGGCAUUAGAUUUCAUUGGGAAGUCUUCUCAAGCUCUUUGCUCCAGAUGUGCGUCUCCUUGUGUCCAGAUACCAAGGACUUUUCAAGUCUCGUACGCUUGGUGGACAUUUGAGUUACUUUGAGUGGUCCAUGAAGAAUCCUGUGCACGCUUCCUGAUGCAUCUAUAGAAGACUCUUUAACAUGUUUGUGCCUGCAGCUGCGUUGUAGGACAGAGCAUUUAAAAUUGGAUAACAGCAAACCAUGUUCUCCACUGAUGACAGUACCAACACCUGCUUCUGAUAGUACUCUGGUCAACACUCCAGAAUCUCCUCCUCCAUCCUUCACCUGCUAACAUCAUUUUCAUUGUUAGGUUGUUUUGUUCUGUUUUGUUUUUGUUUAUUUUGCUUGUUUGUUUGUUUCCAGCUUGGCAAAGAGUAAAAUGUCACCUUCUCAGAAUUACCAUAUUACUAAUUGAAUGUUAGUAUCUUUUCAUUUGCUGGUCUCCCUUUGUGAAUUUAAAAAAAAAAUCCAUUUUAUUCUAGCAAAGGUUUUUCUCUUUUUUUCAUGUUCUGGAGAACCUCUCUAUAGAUGGUGCAUAAUAACCCUUUGUAGUUAUAAGUAGAGGUAAUUAUUUGGGAGGCUCAUUUUCUUAUUCUUUCUAGGCUCACUCUACAAACCAAGUAUCUCAAUAAUCUCACACCCUCUUUCCCCUUAUUAAUCUUCCCCCACAUCAGGAUCAGAUAGCUAUCCCUCCUGUUGUCCCCUAACAGCUUUGCAAUUUGGGCCUUUUGAGUGUAAUCUUUAAUGCAGCUGGAGUCCCCAUCUUUGAUAUUUGUGGGGCAGGCCUUUAUUUUAUUUUAUUUUCCAAUGUGGAUAACCGAUUGACCCAGAAUCAUUUAUUGAAAAGUUCAUUCUUUGCCCACUGCCCUAUAAUACUGGCUCAGUCAUAAAUCAAACCUCUAUAUACGUCUGGGUCUGCUUUUGGCCUCUUGAAAAUGGACUGGAUUUUCAUCAUCCAGGAGGAAAAAAAAAAUAGUAAGUAGAACAGUCUCACUUUGGCAAUUUCCUGUGUCUUUCAAACCUAGACUGAGUUCUUUCUCAACUUAUUUCUCUUCAGUCAGUCACCUUCAAAACCAUUAUUACUAGUCUCUCUGGGUUCCCCAAUACGGGGCGUUAUCGAGUUCUUUACUUAAAAACCGAAGCGUUCUCCUAUGGAACCAAUCUGAGGAACAUUUUCAUCUCACCUAGUUAGACACUGGACCACUCUAACCUGCAGGUUGGCAUUAAUCUCCAUAGUGCCCCGCAUGUGACGGAAACUAAGUAAAUCUAAUUUCCUCCUCGUGAGAUUUUAUAUCGAUGAAUGAGCAUGAGCUGCCUCCUGACAUGUUCAAAUUGUGUUCACAUGAACUGUAUCUGUUGUUUUUUUUAAACUGUAUGACCUAGAAACUUGCCUAAAUCAUAUAAAAAUGUUUUAUUAUUUUAAAAGCCUGUCUUAAAAUAUAAUCAUAUAAAGCUCUGACUACUGAAG
ensembl:lincRNA Gm13582 predicted gene 13582